UAUUGUUCUGAGAUCUUGGUAGGUGGCUGGCAGUUUGAUCCCAGCUGAUAAUGAUCUGUCCUCCUUCCUGCUCCUGACCUUCCUCUCCUUCCCUCCCUCACUCAUUCUCUCUCUCUCUCUCCCUCCCCCCAGGUGUGCCCACUGAUCCACACCUUACUCUCCAACCUGGAUGGGCGUAUUAUUCAGGACAUCAUUGAAUCUGCCUGGCAGAAUGAUAUAAAUUUCAGAAGGAAGACCACGGGCCUAAUGCUGCCUGAAGAGAGAGAUGAGGAAGACUGCUGGUGAGGCCCACCUGAAGAUCGGUUCCAGUGGCUCAAUGGUGUCCCUUAUAGCAUUUCCAUCCUGGCAGAUGCAGCCACCUUCCAAUCAGAGUGACAGCCUGAGCACAGCCAGCAGCCCUCCCAGACACUCCUCCUCACAGUAGGAACGGCAGCCUCUGUGCUCACCACCCUCCAUCCCCUGCAAUAAAAAACCAUUUCUGCACCCUCCUGUGUGGCA
rnacentral:lncRNA from 1 species